AUAAAAAACUCAGGAGAGUCUUUUCGUAAUGAAAUGAAAAGCGCCGAAGGUGUAAGCAGAAAACAGAUCUGCAAAUCUCUCAGGCAAAAGGAUGGAGGAAUGAAU
rfam:Dorea longicatena CAG:42 genomic scaffold, scf26